rnacentral:rRNA from 1 species
UACGUAGGGGCUAGCGUUAUCCGGAAUUACUGGGCGUAAAGAGUGCGUAGGUGGUUUCUUAAGUCAGAGGUGAAAGGCUACGGCUCAACCGUAGUAAGCCUUUGAAACUGGGAAACUUGAGUGCAGGAGAGGAGAGUGGAAUUCCUAGUGUAGCGGUGAAAUGCGUAGAUAUUAGGAGGAACACCAGUUGCGAAGGCGGCUCUCUGGACUGUAACUGACACCGAGGCACGAAAGCGUGGGGAGCAAACAGGAUUAGAUACCCGUGUAGUCCCUGAG